AAAGCGUGGGAGCGAACAGGAUUAGAUACCCUGGUAGUCCACGCCGUAAACGAUGAGUGCUAAGUGUUAGGGGGUUUCCGCCCCUUAGUGCUGCAGCUAACGCAUUAAGCACUCCGCCUGGGGAGUACGGUCGCAAGACUGAAACUCAAAGGAAUUGACGGGGGCCCGCACAAGCGGUGGAGCAUGUGGUUUAAUUCGAAGCAACGCGAAGAACCUUACCAGGUCUUGACAUCCUCUGACAACCCUAGAGAUAGGGCUUUCCCUUCGGGGACAGAGUGACAGGUGGUGCAUGGUUGUCGUCAGCUCGUGUCGUGAGAUGUUGGGUUAAGUCCCGCAACGAGCGCAACCCUUGAUCUUAGUUGCCAGCAUUUAGUUGGGCACUCUAAGGUGACUGCCGGUGACAAACCGGAGGAAGGUGGGGAUGACGUCAAAUCAUCAUGCCCCUUAUGACCUGGGCUACACACGUGCUACAAUGGACAGAACAAAGGGCUGCGAGACCGCAAGGUUUAGCCAAUCCCAUAAAUCUGUUCUCAGUUCGGAUCGCAGUCUGCAACUCGACUGCGUGAAGCUGGAAUCGCUAGUAAUCGCGGAUCAGCAUGCCGCGGUGAAUACGUUUCCCGGGCCUUGUACACACCGCCCGUCACACCACGAGAGUUUGCAACACCCGAAGUCGGUGAGGU
rnacentral:rRNA from 1 species